rnacentral:tRNA from 1 species
GCAGUGAUGGUUUAGUGGCAGAAUUCUCACCUUCCAUGCAGAAGUCCUGAGUUCAAUUCCCAGCCAUUGCC